CAGACAGCACCCACCACCCAUGGUCAUCAACCGACUGGGACACAAGAUUCAAGGGGUACUGUGUGACGGAGACUCAAAUGAAGUUGUUGCUUCCACCGUGGUUAACUGCCUGAAGAUUGAUGAAGGGACUAUCACCAUUGUAAGGGAAGGAUGUGUUCCUGCAGUAAAAGUCCGACAGAUCUUCGACAGAGUGAAAAGCACUAUGUUGUGAUUGUCUCGUACCUCAAUUCUCUGCCUCAGAGAGCCUCAUCAUGACUUAUAUCCUACAAGAUCAGAUUCUUCAGCUCCCCCGUUUCCAUUCAACAUAAAACAUUAUGUAAAUACGUGAAAAUUAUUGCUGGUUGUGUAGCCUAUGUGUACUAUGUGUAACUGUGGAUGUCUUGGCAAAUGUUACAAUAAAAAAUAAAAAAAAACAUUUGUAGCUCACAAUGUCCUUGAUGGACACUUAACAUUCUCAGCAAAAACUGUUUCUACUGUAU